rnacentral:misc_RNA from 1 species
GUAAGCUUACUUCUAUGGUGUGAUCUGUGAUUGCCUUGGUGGCCCUAGUAGUAGUUGCCGCGCAGCAACAUACUUAGCGGCGCAACAUGUCCAAGGGGGGCCUGGACAACUUUCAUCGGGCCAACUAUCUGUACCAGCUGGCAUGGGCUUCAAUGCGCGUCCGGCCCGACCGGCGUGCUACAUCACACCACUUCUCACACAUGCUCAUAGAGUUCGCCCAGAAAGCUGUGCUGCGGAUGGACAGAGAGAUGAAGCGGACCGUGUGCUCUGCGUGCCACGUGCUGCUCGUGCCGGGUACCACGUGCACGGUGCGCACGCGCAGCCGACCACAGCGCUGUCAGGUGUGGCGGUGCAGCGCCUGCGGCCAGUGUCGCCGCUUCCCCGCGCCCCGACCCCCUGACCGGCGCCGCGGAGGGCACGGCGAGGGGGUGACGAAGAACAGCGCAGCGACGGAGGAGGUGCAGCGUGAACAGAUGGACCGAGGAGAGGGUGGACCGAGUGGAAAACAGGCCACGGGACCGUGUGGAAAUCAGGCCACAGGACCGAGCGGAAAACAGGCCACAGAACCGAGUGGAAACCAGGCCACAGGACCGAGUGGAAACCAGGUCACAGGACCGUGUGGAAACCAGGCCACGGGACCGUGUGGAAAGGAGAGCGCUGGUCCGAGAGGAGAGCAGUCUUCUGGACCGAGUGAAAAGCAGAAUACUGGUCUGAAUGGAAAGCAGAGUACUGGUCCGAAUGGAAAGCAGGGCGCUGGUCCGAGAGGAGCUUUUCCCGCUGGUCCGAGAGGAGCUUUUCCUGCCGGUCCGAGAGGAGCUUUUCCCGCUGGUCCGAGUGGGGCUUUUCCCGCUGGUCCGAGAGGAGCUUUUCCCGCCGGUCCGAGAGGGAAUUGGAACGCCGGUCAUACAGGAAGUUGGAACGCCGGCCCGAGAGGGUAUGGGAACGUCUGUCCGAGAGGGAAUUGGAACGCCGGUCCUACAGGAAGUUGGAACGCCGGCCCGAGAGGGUACGGGAACGCCGGUCCGAGAAGAGGUUGGAACGGAGCUCCCAGUGGAGGGAGGACUGCCGGUCCGACCUGGAAAGCAGGACAGUCGUGGAGACCGGCCGGCCCGAGCAAAUGAUGGGUGAUGUACCGAGGAGAGCUAGUCUGGCUUUGGUAUCGCGAGCUUUCACCCGCUGAUUGGUGUCGUCUUUUGAUCAAAUUAUUUUUUGGUGCCUCGAAAAUCGAGUCACAUAUGAACUGUCCGUUCACUUUUUAUUAUUUAGUUUCGGUAGUGUGAUCUUAACUAACAUUGAGCCAAAUAAUCCAUGUUAAGAAUCUUAAAUGACUAUUGACUAGCAUUCAGAUAUAUAAAUUAUUUAAUGACUCGUAAUGAACUGUGCCUCAAGCGGUACUAGCGUUGUUCAAUGAUCUUGUGUUUGUUACCUGUUGUCAUGCGUUCAUAUAAAAUCUGUCAAUGAAA